rnacentral:piRNA from 2 species
UGCCCAGAAACUACAUGGAUAAGCAGUUGC